rnacentral:rRNA from 1 species
UACAGAGGGGGCAAGCGUUGUUCGGAAUUACUGGGCGUAAAGGGCUCGUAGGCGGCCAACUAAGUCGGACGUGAAAUCCCCAGGCUCAACCUGGGAACUGCGUCCGAUACUGGAUGGCUUGAAUCCGGGAGAGGGAUGCAGAAUUCCAGGUGUAGCGUGAAAUGCGUAGAGUAUACUGGAGGAACACCGGUGGCGAAGGCGGCAUCCUGGACCAACAUGACG